rnacentral:tRNA from 1 species
UCCUCCAUGACGCAAUCGACAGCGCGGCUGACUGUUACAUUACGGUCACUCAAGGACCGCCAAUCCUUGAGUGACCGUUCUGGUCGCACAUCAGGAGGUUCUCAGUUCAAACCUGAGUGGGGGAG